rnacentral:rRNA from 1 species
GACGAACGCUGGCGGCGUGCUUAACACAUGCAAGUCGAACGGAAAGACCCUUCUUUUGUUGGGUGCUCGAGUGGCGAACGGGUGAGUAACACGUGAGUAACCUGCCCUGGACUUUGGGAUAACUUCAGGAAACUGGGGCUAAUACCGGAUAGGAGCUCCUGCUGCAUGGUGGGGGUUGGAAAGUUUCGGCGGUUGGGGAUGGACUCGCGGCUUAUCAGCUUGUUGGUGGGGUAGUGGCUUACCAAGGCUUUGACGGGUAGCCGGCCUGAGAGGGUGACCGGCCACAUUGGGACUGAGAUACGGCCCAGACUCCUACGGGAGGCAGCAGUGGGGAAUAUUGCACAAUGGGCGGAAGCCUGAUGCAGCAACGCCGCGUGCGGGAUGACGGCCUUCGGGUUGUAAACCGCUUUCGCCUGUGACGAAGCGUGAGUGACGGUAAUGGGUAAAGAAGCACCGGCUAACUACGUG